AGUGCAUGCAGGGUCUGUACACUGGGGGAGGAGUGGAUUGUAUGUCACACUCGCUCCCUCUCUCCCUCCCUCCCUCUCUCCCGCUUUCUCUAUCUCUUUUACUCCUACCACCCUGGAUUUGCUGCUUUUCUUCCCUCCCACUCGUGCUCUCGCUCUCUCUUUCCCGCCCUCUCAAGUGCAAAACCAUGUGGGGCGUAUGAUGAGAAAGAGGCUCACCCCACUGAGUCUCAUAUUUCAACAUUAGUCAGCUCUCUCUCUCUCUCUCUCUCUCUCUCUCUCUCUCCCUCUUUUUCUCACUCACUCUUCCGUCCACUUUUUCUCUGGCUCUCUUUCCUAUGCUCCCCUCAUUUCCUCCUCUCACUCCUCUCUUUAAGACAUGGGGAGAUUUUUGGAGCUGAAACUGGAAAAGCAUGGCAGGGAAGAAGGGAAGGGAAAGAAAGAAAGAAAGGCAAAAAAAAAAAGAAAAGAAAACCUUUCAGCUGCUUUUUCUGCCUGCAAGGGCCUCCCCACCAGUGGGCCUAGCCAGAAAGGGAGGGCUUCUGCUCUCCUAAUAGGAUUUAACCCUCUGUCUACAGCCGCUGCACUGCAGCCGAACCAAACCCUGCCAACAAGUCACACUCUCCAGCGCAUUGCUUGAGGUUUCAAGCACCAGGUUUUUUUUUUCCAACCCUGGAGUUUAUUUCGUUUCAGUUUGGUUUCUUCGUUUUAAGCUUCGCGAUGAGUCUUCUCAGUUGUAGCCUUUUUUUUUUUGUUAGUUUUUUUUUUUUAUAGUGACUUGGAGCAUGGGAUCGUUUUGGACAGAGAUCUAUACAGUAGGUAGGGCAAGUGGUGUACGGGAGCUGUGCCUGGGACAGAUGCCAGUCGCUCACAAAAGCCCGAACCCAAAAAAAAAAGAAGGAAAAUUCGGGCCACCGGACCAAAAAGCAGAGCAGAGAUUUUUUUUUUUCAUGUGAAAAUACACAGACACGUGAGCGGGAGCACGGAGGGAACGUGGCUUCUCCACGAUCUCUCCCAGAACUAAAAAGCGAAAUCCUGCUCGCUGGAAAACACAUGCAUGGAUCGAGAACAGUACUUCCAGGAGCUUGUCGUGCUGAUGGUUCAGAAGCCCGAGAGGGAAGCGAGAAAGGAACAAGUGAGCGACGCCAAGAGGGGAGGGAAAGGAGGAAAGAAGGAAAACGGAAGGAGGAGGAGGGGAGGACCUUUUCCAGCCUGUUAAAUGUUCCCCAGGCCCAGCCAAGGCGAAGGCAGGCACUGCAUGCUGAUUUGCAUUCAGCGGACAUGCUAAUUGUGUGUUUUCUAACAUGCUCCAUUCAUUCGGACCAGGCUCUAGUCUGCAGACGGGCUUCAUACACGCCUCCCAGACACCCACGUGGCCUCCUAUUGUUGCCGAGGCCGCUUUGAGCCGAAGAAGCUCCAGGCCCCGGCCGAGGCAUAUUGCAGUGCAGGGGGUUAGCCUGGAUCUCCAGGCUGCUGUGGAGAGAGGACAGAACGGGGAAACACUUAGCUAGAGCUCUCCUCUCAGAUUCUGAGCGUCUCUAUCAUCUCUAUAUCUCCACAGUGAAGAAGAUAUUGGCCAGGGGGAAAAAAACCUUUCUGAGGCCUGUAGGAAUUUGUACCUGAGUAUCCGAAACACUUUUAAAACCUUGAGGGUUAGAUUUCUGGUUACCUGAAGCAUGAUCUGAAGCCGUUCACACAUUUGGACCAGGUUUCCUGCACAGGCUUUGUCAGGUAGACUGUUUGUCUGCGGAUGCACCAGGCUGCCAUGUGCAUGACACAGCGAGUGAAGCCUCUGCAUGGCGUCCAUUUGCUCCAUAAUUACGUCAUAAUAUUCACGGAAGCCAGGAGAAUUUGUCUCUGCGCAAAGUACACCAAGGACCGCGAUGGAGGCGAAAAAUGUUAAGACACACUGGAAAGAAGUACCACCAGACAAGCAGGAAAUCCUCUGACGGGAAUACGAUCUUGUUCGAUCUAGGUAUUGUAUGUUUACAUGACAAGAGGAAAAGAUCUAAGCGACUUUAGAGGCACGUUCAUUAUGUAGCCCAGUGAUAGCAGGAGCUUCAGUGGGGAGAAAAGUCACCUCAGCUGGAUGUGUUUCAAUAGGAACAGUGAUGAAAGUGACAUCCGAAUUUAGCUCUAUGAGAAAGACGGCUAACAGGGUUAGAAAUUGAGGAUGAAAGCACACAUUUGAUGGUCUGUGCAUUUGUGAGAUAUCUAAGGGAAAAAAAACACCUGUUCAUUGGUUGACACAGAAUAUUAUGACUAUGAGGCUACAUAUUAUAGAUGCAAGUGCAUACAUCUUUAGUUGUGCCCAAGAAAGCUGAUUUAUUCAAAAAUAAAUAAUCACACUAUAUAACUCCUCCCUCUGAGUGUUAAAAAGCUGGUCUCCAAUAUAGGUAAUAUGGAUUAUAUAGUUAUAGUUAUAGAUUUUAAUGCCAGAUUUAUGUAAUGUUAAUAUCUUGGGCAUCUAUGUGCAAUAAUUUCAGUGCAAUAAUAAUAAUAAUAAUUAUACAUCUCUUUCACUGCUGCUACAAAUUUCAUUUCCCUCAAUAUAUUACUUAAUAUAUUUAUAACUAAUAUAUUCACUUUACAUAAUAUAUAACGCAAA